GAUGAACGCUGGCGGCGUGCCUAAUACAUGCAAGUCGAGCGAAUGGAUUAAGAGCUUGCUCUUAUGAAGUUAGCGGCGGACGGGUGAGUAACACGUGGGUAACCUGCCCAUAAGACUGGGAUAACUCCGGGAAACCGGGGCUAAUACCGGAUAACAUUUUGAACCGCAUGGUUCGAAAUUGAAAGGCGGCUUCGGCUGUCACUUAUGGAUGGACCCGCGUCGCAUUAGCUAGUUGGUGAGGUAACGGCUCACCAAGGCAACGAUGCGUAGCCGACCUGCGAGGGUGAUCGGCCACCCUGGGACUGAGACACGGCCCAGACUCCUACGGGAGGCAGCAGUAGGGAAUCUUCCGCAAUGGACGAAAGUCGGACGGAGCAACGCCGCGUGAGUGAUGAAGGCUUUCGGGUCGUAAAACUCUGUUGUUAGGGAAGAACAAGUGCUAGUUGAAUAAGCUGGCACCUUGACGGUACCUAACCAGAAAGCCACGGCUAACUUCGUGCCAGCAGCCGCAGUAA
rnacentral:rRNA from 1 species